UACGUAGGGGGCGAGCGUUGUCCGGAUUUAUUGGGCGUAAAGAGCGUGUAGGCGGUUUGGUAAGUCUGUCGUGAAAUCCUGAGGCUCAACCUCGGGCGUGCGAUGGAUACUGCCGGGCUAGAGGGUGGUAGAGGCGAGUGGAAUUCCCGGUGUAGCGGUGAAAUGCGCAGAUAUCGGGAGGAACACCAGUAGCGAAGGCGGCUCGCUGGGCCACACCUGACGCUGAGACGCGAAAGCUAGGGGAGCGAACAGG
rnacentral:rRNA from 1 species